UCCAAUUGCAAGCACGUCGAAAACCCUUAUAUUGAAAGGCGAGCCUCGCUCUAUGGCAAUAAACCAAGCAGGUAAUAGAUGUUGCGGACCCGGGGGCGGUACCCGGCGCCUCCACCAAAGAGCCAAUUC
rnacentral:tmRNA from 2 species